rnacentral:rRNA from 1 species
AUUGAACGCUGGCGGCGUGCCUAAUACAUGCAAGUCGAGCGAAGCGGGGACGGGUGAGUGACAAGUAGAUAACCACCUAUAAGACUGGGGUAACUACGGGUAACCGGAGCUAAUACGGCUACUUGUAGGUGAAUCGGCUCUGCAUUAGCUAGUUGGUUAGGUAACGGCUUACCAAGGCAACGAUGCAUAGCAGAGCUGAGAGGGUGACCAGCCACACUGGAACGGAGACACGGUCCGGACUCCUACGGGAGGCAGCAGUAGGGAAUCUUCCGCAAGGGGCGAAAGCCUGACGGAGCAACGCCGCGUGAGUUAAGAAGGUCUUCGUCUCGUAAAGCUCUGUUAUUAGGGAAGCGGUACCUAAUCAAAAAGCCACGGCUAACUCCGUGCCAGCAGCCGCGGUAAUAC